AAACCACGUGUACUUCUUCAGAAUUCAAAUGCGAUAGCUCUCUAAAAUUAUUCAUAUUCACAGUUCACUCUUCCAAUAUCAUAUCCUUUGCUUCUCUCUGCAAUUCUUGGCCGGCUUUCCUACUUCAAGAGUUCGAUGCGUCAUCUUAGUUUGGGUGAGUUUCUUAACUUUUUUGGGCUUCUCUGAAUCUAUGUGUUUGAGUGUUCUCAUAUUUCUCUUAUGGAAUUCAUGAAUUAUUUUUUCCUAAUUUUAUAUUCUGUUUUAAUUACGUUUGUUGAGCCUUCCUGGUUUUUCUUUUCUUGCGUCGUGUUUCUGGUUUUCGCUUCUGGAUUUCCUUAAUUUGAUGUUUAUCCAUUUUUCUUCGAUGUUGGAUUCUCUAUUCCCUUUUGAAUAAUUUCUUGCUAAACUUUUUGUAUGGAUGUCUGAUUUUGACAUGCAGGACUAAAAAGAAAUACAUAGGUACAUAUUCUUUGGUUCUAAUUUUAGUAUUCUGAUUACGAUUGUGAGUAAAAUGGGAUUUUCGGCCUGAAAAUUUUAUUCUUCGAACGUGCGGAUGGAGGAUGAUGUAUUUUCUCAGGAACAAAUUAAAUUACCUAAUGUAUUUAGGAGGUUAAGAAUUAAGAUAAUAGGGAAGUCUGUCAGAAUACUUUCGUAAUUACUGAAUCCAUUAACAUGCAACCGGGAACAAACAAGUUCCAUUUUUUCAUCUUAAAUAACUUCUUUCGUCCUUUUAAAUUCAGAUCCAUGGCGGUGUGAAUGUAGUAUAGUGUGCAUGCCUUUUUUUCUUCUACUAAGGUCCAAAAUUUAUGCUUAGUACACAUAUAGAUAUGCCAAUAUCACCAAAAAGAGUAUCAUUUCAGAGAGUAUAGCCAGUAGUUUGUCAUAUUGAAUAUUUUCUACCAAUUUUAUUCUUAAAUGUUUGUUGCUUUUAAUACUGUUCGUCCCUUUUUUAGUUCAAAAUCAUUUUCUGAAUUUGCUGGCACUUAGAAUUAGAUGUGAGGAUUUGUAGUUUGUACAAAAAAAUCAAUAGUUUUUACGAUUAAUUUUGUUUGUAUAAGUUAGAGUCGUCUAAUGCAUCUGUCACUAUUAAGUUCCUUUUAUUUCCAGAGGACCUAAACUAUUAAUGAUCACACAUUGAUGUAGAGCAGAAUAUCUGAACAGUGCCCCUUUUUUGCAGGUAUGAGAAAUGCUUGUUAGAUUACUACAUUAAUGUCAAACCUUACAUAGUGCACCUAUCCCUUUGUAGGAGAAAACAUUUUUAAAAACUUAGUAGUGAAGAUUUAUGAUCCAAAUAAACACUAUUCUGUUUAAUUUUCAAUGUUAUUGAACCAUAGCGACCUAAUGACUAUCUCGCUUCCUGGUGCUAAAGCUGAAGUUAGAAAAAGCAAAGUCGUUAAGCUCAAGUUUUAUAUUUAGCCAUAAGAGGUAUAUUAUAUUAUUAGCUCUCAUUUCUCCUUUUGUAGCUUGCUUAAGGAUAGUUUAAUCUUAUCUUUCCUUGUAGAUAAUGAUUUAUAUUGCAACAUACUCCAUUAUGGUAGACUUAUGUAAUGAAUUUAAGUAAUAUAUCAAUAGAAAACCUCAGCUAUAUGAUUGAGAGCUUUGAAUCGAAUGUAUGUACACUUCUGUUAUCACAUCUCUGGUAAUUUUCUUUUAUCCAAUUAACCUUUUUUACGUUCUUAUAAACCUUUCUCUCUCAUUAUCUCACUAAUGAGAUGCCAUUACAUUCUAAAUGUUUAAAACGAAUAUUUAAUUUCAUGAUUGCAAUUUUAGCUACUGGUUUUUGGCAAAAUCUAAAUGGAGAAGUGAGGCUAAGAUUAGUAGCAUGCAAGGGAUGGUAGUUAAUUUGGACAUUAAUACCAGUUCAAAAGGAUACUACAAACUACUAGGCAAAAUACACCUACGCUGGCUCAGAUGGGAACUUAGUGGUGAGGUGGAAAGAGACAACAAUUAGAAAUCUUCUGACUAGAAUUAUGCUUUUUUUGGAGUUUGUUUCGUGUGCCUACUGCAGCGCCAUCUUCCGAUUCCAUGAGUAUCCCCUAUAAUGUGGCAAGUGUCCUUCCCCAAUUGAAUGAAAUCUUGCAUUGGAUUUUUUUUUUUGUUUUUCAUUGUCAUUUAGGUUCAAUAAAUAUAUAUUCACUGUGAGGGUUCACACAAGGAAAUAUAUAUGACUUUCCAAAAUUCAUCUUCUUUGAUGAUGAUGUAAGAUUGUAUUUAUUUUUCUACUCAAAUUUUGUUGUGAUAUCUGCAGCUACAGUAUUAUCUGUAUUAUUCAUUACUUUCAG
rnacentral:lncRNA from 1 species